UCAAACCUACGUUACAGUGAAGCUGGAAGCUCGAGGAACAUCAUAAUCGUUGGGUUAUCGCUAUUCUUUUCUCUAUCUGUCCCUGCUUACUUCCAGCAAUAUGGCGUUUCUCCAAACUCGAACCUCUCUGUUCCAAGUUAUUACCAGCCUUACAUUGUUGCUUCUCAUGGACCCUUCAACAGCCAAUAUAAAGGGGUACGUUUACGCUUUUGCCUUUUUCAAAAUGUAAAUCUCAGGAGAGUAUUAGUAAACUUGUGUAAGAGUUUUGUGCAGGUGAACUAUGUGAUGAACACGCUGUUAUCGAUGAACAUGGUGAUUGCGUUCAUCAUGGCAGUGGUUUUGGACAAUACUGUACCUGGGAGUAGGCAAGAACGUGGUGUUUAUGUUUGGUCUGAUAGUGAGACUGUGACGAGAGAACCAGCACUUGCUAAAGACUAUGAGCUGCCGUUUAGAGUGGGAAGGUUUUUCAGAUGGGUCAAAUGGGUUGGCAUUUGAAUGAAAAAAACUCAAUGGCAAAGUGGUAAAUAAUUAGAUUUUCUUUUUGUUUUCUUUUCCUCUGUUUUUUUAGUCUCUCAGUUUUAUAAAACACCUUGGAGUUUUCUUGGAUCGCAAGUUUGUUUGUUGAACAGAGCACGUGGAAUUGGAUGUUGUUGUUGUUGUAAGUUAUAUGGACUAUUAUGAGCAAUCCUUUUAUAACUAUAUUUAGUUAUUUCUUUCACUUUUACUAAAUACUAGAGAUUUUUUCCGUGCUUCGUGCGGAUUGUGUCUUAUAAAAUUAUAUUAUUUAUAAUAUUAUUUGUCGGUUUUUUUCUUUUACAUUAAUUUCUUGUUUUUUUAAUGUUAGUUUUUCUUAAUUUAAAUUUAUAUGUUUAUAAUUUUUCAUUUUUCUUGUUGUAGAUGGGGAAUUAUAUUUUUUAUUGAUGGUUUUUUGUAUGUGACAUAAACUUUUUGAAAUUUUAAAAUAAUGUUAUAUAUAGUACGAUAAACACAUUAAAGAAGAUAAACAUAUUCAUGCACAUUUUACACAGGUUUUAUAUGCAUAAUUUAAAACAUUAUAUAUGUAUAUAUUAUAAGUUUGAAACAUGUAAAUGCUUUCUAAAGCUAAAUACUUAUUCUGAGUUUACAUAACUUAUCAACAGUUUUAUCUCUUUUUAAAUUCAAAUCACAGAAAAAAAAUAUUAAAAAGUUAGUAUAGAUGGGUUUUUUAGGCUUUUAAAUCAACACUCCUGCUUACUUCCAGCAAUAUGGCGUUUCUCCAAACUCGAACCUCUCUGUUCCAAGUUAUUACCAGCCUUACAUUGUUGCUUCUCAUGGACCCUUCAACAGCCAAUAUAAAGGGGUACGUUUACGCUUUUGCCUUUUUCAAAAUGUAAAUCUCAGGAGAGUAUUAGU
rnacentral:lncRNA from 1 species